rnacentral:rRNA from 1 species
GUGCCAGCAGCCGCGGUAAUACAGAGGGUGCAAGCGUUAAUCGGAUUUACUGGGCGUAAAGCGUGAGUAGGUGGCUCGCUAAGUCGGUUGUGAAAUCCCUGGGCUCAACCUGGGAAUUGCAGUCGAUACUGGCAAGCUAGAGUUCGGUAGAGGGUGGCGGAAUUCCCGGUGUAGCGGUGAAAUGCGUAGAUAUCGGGAGGAACAUCGAUGGCGAAGGCAACCACCUGGGCCUGAACUGACACUGAGACACGAAAGCGUGGGUAGCAAACAGGAUUAGAUACCCGCGUAGUCC